ACGGAGGGUGCAAGCGUUAAUCGGAAUUACUGGGCGUAAAGCGCACGCAGGCGGUUGGAUAAGUUAGAUGUGAAAGCCCCGGGCUCAACCUGGGAAUGGCAGUGGAAACUAGGGGACUGGAAUCUGGCAGAGGGGGGUGGAAUGCCGCGUGUAGCAGUGAAAUGCGUAGAGAUGCGGCGGAACACCGAUGGCGAAGGCAGCCCCCUGGGCUGAGAUUGACGCUCAGGCACGAAAGCGUGGGGAGCAAACAGGA
rnacentral:rRNA from 1 species